UAGGGAAUCUUCGGCAAUGGACGGAAGUCUGACCGAGCAACGCCGCGUGAGUGAAGAAGGUUUUCGGAUCGUAAAGCUCUGUUGUAAGAGAAGAACGAGUGUGAGAGUGGAAAGUUCACACUGUGACGGUAUCUUACCAGAAAGGGACGGCUAACUACGUGCCAGCAGCCGCGGUAAUACGUAGGUCCCGAGCGUUAUCCGGAUUUAUUGGGCGUAAAGCGAGCGCAGGCGGUUAGAUAAGUCUGAAGUUAAAGGCUGUGGCUUAACCAUAGUACGCUUUGGAAACUGUUUAACUUGAGUGCAAGAGGGGAGAGUGGAAUUCCAUGUGUAGCGGUGAAAUGCGUAGAUAUAUGGAGGAACACCGGUGGCGAAAGCGGCUCUCUGGCUUGUAACUGACGCUGAGGCUCGAAAGCGUGGGGAGCAAACAGGAUUAGAUACCCUGGUAGUCCACGCCGUAAACGAUGAGUGCUAGGUGUUANACCCUUUCCGGGGUUUAGUGNCGUAGCUAACGCAUUAAGCACUCCGCCUGGGGAGUACNACCGCAAGGNUG
rnacentral:rRNA from 1 species